rnacentral:rRNA from 1 species
GAUGAACGCUGGCGGCGUGCCUAAUACAUGCAAGUCGAACGCUUCGAUUUAUCGAAGAGUGGCGAACGGGUGAGUAAUACAUAAGUAACCUGCCCUUAACAGGGGGAUAACUACUAGAAAUGGUGGCUAAGACCGCAUAGGUGGAUUGAUCGCAUGAUCGAUUCAUUAAAAGACCUUUCAAGGUCUGGAUAAGGAUGGACUUAUGUCGCAUUAGCUAGUUGGUAAGGUAACGGCUUACCAAGGCGACGAUGCGUAGCCGGCCUGAGAGGGUGAACGGCCACAUUGGGACUGAGGCACGGCCCAAACUCCUACGGGAGGCAGCAGUAGGGAAUUUUCGGCAAUGGGGGAAACCCUGACCGAGCAACGCCGCGUGAAGGAAGAAGGAAUUCGUUUCGUAAACUUCUGUUAUAAAGGAAGAAAGAUGAUAUCAGGAAAUGGAUGUCAAGUGACGGUACUUUAUGAGAAAGCCACGGCUAACUACGUGCCAGCAGCCGCGGUAAUACGUAGGUGGCAAGCGUUAUCCGGAAUUAUUGGGCGUAAAGAGGGAGCAGGCGGUAACAAAGGUCUGUGGUGAAAGCCUGAAGCUUAACUUCAGUAAGCCAUAGAAACCAGGUAACUAGAGUGCAAGAGAGGAUCGUGGAAUUCCAUGUGUAGCGGUGAAAUGCGUAGAUAUAUGGAGGAACACCAGUGGCGAAGGCGACGAUCUGGCUUGUAACUGACGCUGAGUCCCGAAAGCGUGGGGAGCAAAUA